AUUGAACGCUAGCGGGAUGCCUAACACAUGCAAGUCGAACGAGUGGCGGACGGGUGAGUAAUAUAUGGGAACGUGCCCAGUAGCGGGGGAUAACUACUCGAAAGGGUGGCUAAUACCGCAUACCAUUAGAUGGGCCGUUAUGGGAUUCGCUAGUUGGUGGGUUAAAGGCUCACCAAGGCAACGAUCCGUAGCUGGUCUGCGAGGACGACCGGCCACACUGGGACUGAGACACGGCCCAGACUCCUACGGGAGGCAGCAGUGGGGAAUUUUGGACAAUGGGGGAAAGCCUGAUCCAGCCAUCCCGCGUGUAUGAGAAGGCCUUCGGGUUGUAAAGUACUUUUGGCAGAGAAGCGGUAUCUGCAGAAUAAGCACCGGCUAACUACGUGCCAGCCGCCGCGGUAAUAC
rnacentral:rRNA from 1 species